AGGCAAUGACUUCCACGGAAGGGGGAAGCAUUUUCUGUACAAGUCAACUAUAAAAACUGAGAUGUCUGACGUAUUUCUAGUUGGAUUCUGGAGAGCCCACUAGAAUGUCAGUCAGUGAUAUCAGUCAGUCAGUCUAAUGAUAUCAAUCAAAAAGAGAUCCAUCAUGACCAGGAACAUAAUUGAAUCGACAUCAAUCGCCUAGGAUUUCGGGUGAUUUCUACAAUUGUACAUAAAAUUUUUUAUGAAUGAUAAAUUAAUUGCAAAUAGUGAAUUUGAUGAUUAAUUGUAUAUAAUAUCUGAGAUUUAAUUGUAUAUUAAAAUUUUACAAACCAUUA